ACUGUUUUUAUUGUAUUUUUUUUAUCAAAUAAAUGAGACUUGUGCUUAAAAACAUAAAACUGACUAAAACUUUAUUAUCAUUAUUAUUCAUUUAUUUAUUAACCUUAUUUUAUUUUAAUGAAGUAAUGUUCUGAAUUUACCUUGUCGUCAAGUGUGGUAAAAUGUUUAGACUCGGAUACUGUAGCUUAAAUGAUGAUAAAGUGCCAUGAUGAAGACUUGAUUUGUCAAAAAGUGAAUAGCUACUGGUUUGACCUCAGUAUUCAUUCACGGAAGAGAGAAUGUUGCUGAUUGCUUUUGAUAUCAGCAUAUCGAAUGAAGUGCUGAUGAGCAUGCGAUUUACAGAACGGCCUUUAAUAGGUAACCUUGUCCCUCCAGCUGUCAGGGGAAUUCUGUGAACAAAAACAGUUCUCCUAGCUCUCUCUCUCUCUCUCUCUCUCUCUCUCUCUCUCUCUCUCUCUCUCUCUCUCUCUCUGGGUCUAGGGGAGCAGACUGGUUCUCAUGUCCUUGAGGUCUGUCAUGUUGGCAUCUUAAUUUUUCUUAGAUUUUUUGUUUGUUUGUUUUUCCUCUCUGUUGUUUGUCAACAUUGUUUUGUAUUCGUUUUGGUGUAUGGUCGUAAGGCACCCAACUUGACAGUCGUCUCAACAGGAAGAAGCGGAGUAGGUUCAUGCAAGGAGAAAGAAAGAAAGUGAUGCAAGUUUGGAACAACAUGAGAGACAGAAGCGAAAGAGAACGAGAAGGAAGAAGUUUAGCUCCACUGGGAGCAAGUGGGAGAAAAAGAGAGAGAGCAAACCCUCGAGUUCAUCAAUGUGUUUCCAAUCUUUACUGGCAGGGUGAGUUUAAGAUUGAAUCAAUGCGAGGAAAAAUAAAAAUAGAGGUAGACUGUUAUUUACCGAGUAAGGUGCCAUUCGAGCAUAAUGCAUUUUUGUGUUUAAAAACACAUUUAAGUUAAACUUUUUAAUUUGAGCGCCAUUUUUUUAUUAUUCAGGUUCAUGCACGGGACACAGCAAAAGGCUUUGGGCACGGCCCGUGUUUCUGGACCACCCUAAUAGUUCCAAUAAAGUGUUUGCACCUACAGUGCGUCACAGCUGGGUCAGUUACCCAGAUGCGUGGCCAUAUUGGAGAUAUUCAGAUGAAAACAACAGUAAAGGAUGUGAUAUUCUGACAAACUAAGGUUAAUAGGUGGUAAAUAUCCAUACGAGCUGGCUCGUUUGUUGUGGACUGACGACCCGACAGUUCUUUCUUCUAUUUUUAUCCCAACAUAAGCUGUUUCCAUUACACUUCAAAUUGUGCAAACUGAAAUUGCAAUUUAAUGUUUUAUAACCUCAAAGAAACAGCUCAUAUGUGGCUGCUUUCAAGUAUGAAGGGCUUUCCUUGCCAUUAAUGCUUGGAUAACCCCUUAUUUACACUGCAGCUCUGACAUGGCCACUGGAGCUGAUUGCGUCCACGUUAGUCAUUGCUUGUGUUUAUAGCAGCCACGUGCUUCAGCAUGUUUCAGAAGCGUCCCAGAAGCAUCUAUCUGCACUGCUUUGCUAAAGAUACACAUCUAUGUUUCCUUCAAUUAAAAAUAAUGGCUAGUGCAAUGGUUGCGAUAUAGUAAACCUACCAACAUCCGUCACCAUGACUUAUCGCAAGUGGAAAAAAAAUUAUGUUUUAGUCGCACAACAUCGGUUAAUGGAAACGCAUCAUUUAAUUUUUUUUUUUUUUUAAAAUUUUAAAUUAAUGGAAAUGCAGCUAUAGUGAAAUAUUUUGGGUUUGCCAAGAACAUACACAAGUUCUGUUCGGUUCAGUGGCACUGUUUUAGUUCAGUACCUUAAUAUGGCCGACUUCCGGAUUAAUGACGUGCCAUGAAAACACCCUACAGACGUUUCAACCCUAAACACAAACUACUUUGACAAUAAUAGGUCAAUAUAAUAGACUGCACUUACAUUUUUCCUCUGCUAAUGAAAGCAGCUCCAAACAAAGCCACAGCAGAAUUAAGCAUUGUGUGUUUCCAAGCAACACAAACAAUAGUGAUGUUGCUGUAUGGAUCAUGUUU
ensembl:lncRNA